AGCAGUAUGGCGCAGCUGGAAGCGCGCGGGGCCCAUACAUUCAAGUUGGUUGACCCCGAGGUCACUUGAUCGAAACAAGUUGCUGCUA